rnacentral:rRNA from 1 species
AGUGAACGCUGGCGGUAGGCCUAACACAUGCAAGUCGAACGGCAGCACAGUAAGAGCUUGCUCUUACGGGUGGCGAGUGGCGGACGGGUGAGGAAUACAUCGGAAUCUACUUUUUCGUGGGGGAUAACGUAGGGAAACUUACGCUAAUACCGCAUACGACCUACGGGUGAAAGCAGGGGAUCUUCGGACCUUGCGCGAUUGAAUGAGCCGAUGUCGGAUUAGCUAGUUGGCGGGGUAAAGGCCCACCAAGGCGACGAUCCGUAGCUGGUCUGAGAGGAUGAUCGGCCGCACUGGAACUGAGACACGGUCCAGACUCCUACGGGAGGCAGCAGUGGGGAAUAUUGGACAAUGGGCGCAAGCCUGAUGCAGCCAUGCCGCGUGGGUGAAGAAGGCCUUCGGGUUGUAAAGCCCUUUUGUUGGGAAAGAAAAGCAGCAGGUUAAUACCCCGCUGUUCUGACGGUACCCAAAGAAUAAGCACCGGCUAACUUCGUG